GGCUGUCGUCAGCUCGUGUCGUGAGAUGUUGGGUUAAGUCCCGCAACGAGCGCAACCCUUGUCACUAGUUGCCAUCAUUUAGUUGGGCACUCUAGUGAGACUGCCGGUGACAAACCGGAGGAAGGUGGGGAUGACGUCAAGUCCUCAUGGCCCUUAUGGGUAGGGCUUCACACGUCAUACAAUGGUCGGUGCAGAGGGUUGCCAAGCCGCGAGGUGGAGCCAAUCCCUUAAAGCCGAUCGUAGUCCGGAUCGUAGUCUGCAACUCGACUGCGUGAAGUCGGAAUCGCUAGUAAUCGUGAAUCAGAAUGUCACGGUCGAAUACGUUCCCGGGCCUU
rnacentral:rRNA from 1 species